rnacentral:rRNA from 1 species
GACGAACGCUGGCGGCGUGCUUAACACAUGCAAGUCGAACGGAAAGGCCCUGCUUUUGUGGGGUGCUCGAGUGGCGAACGGGUGAGUAACACGUGAGUAACCUGCCCUUGACUUUGGGAUAACUUCAGGAAACUGGGGCUAAUACCGGAUAGGAGCUCCUGCUGCAUGGUGGGGGUUGGAAAGUUUCGGCGGUUGGGGAUGGACUCGCGGCUUAUCAGCUUGUUGGUGGGGGAGUGGCUUACCAAGGCUUUGACGGGUAGCCGGCCUGAGAGGGUGACCGGCCACAUUGGGACUGGGCUACGGCCCAGACUCCUACGGGAGGCAGCAGUGGGGAAUAUUGCACAAUGGGCGGAAGCCUGAUGCAGCAACGCCGCGUGCGGGAUGACGGCCUUCGGGUUGUAAACCGCUUUCGCCUGUGACGAAGCGUGAGUGACGGUAAUGGGUAAAGAAGCACCGGCUAACUACGUG